GACGAACGCUGGCGGCGUGCCUAAUACAUGCAAGUAGAACGCUGAAGGAGGAGCUUGCUUCUCUGGAUGAGUUGCGAACGGGUGAGUAACGCGUAGGUAACCUGCCUGGUAGCGGGGGAUAACUAUUGGAAACGAUAGCUAAUACCGCAUAAUAUUGACUAUUGCAUGAUAGUCAGUUGAAAGGUGCAACUGCACCACUACCAGAUGGACCUGCGUUGUAUUAGCUAGUUGGUGGGGUAACGGCUCACCAAGGCGACGAUACAUAGCCGACCUGAGAGGGUGAUCGGCCACACUGGGACUGAGACACGGCCCAGAAUCCUAAGGGAGGCAGCAGUAGGGAAUCUUCGGCAAUGGACGGAAGUCUGACCGAGCAACGCCGCGUGAGUGAAGAAGGUUGUCGGAUCGUAAAGCUCUGUUGUAAGAGAAGAACGAGUGUGAGAGUGGAAAGCUCACACUGUGACGGUAUCUUACCAGAAAGGGACGGCUAACUACGUG
rnacentral:rRNA from 1 species